rnacentral:lncRNA from 1 species
UCCACAUAAACAAAGAGAAUAGCUCAGGUAGUAGGAAUUGACUAUUUGACUAAUUAUCCCUCAUUGAAAACUAGACCGGUAAGUUGUGUUAUUGGAGCUGAUUUAAAAAAAUAUCAACAAAAGAUUAGGGACAAAAUCUUGAACAACGAGAAGCUAAGGGGGUGAUUUGAAAAUAAAAAGUGGGGCACAAGAAUUGAGGGAGAGAAAGGAAAGAAAAGACCGUCAGAACCAAACGGCAGCUUUGUUUUCUACACACACCACCGUUACAUGGGGAAUACACAGAGACGAAUCUAAAGACGUUCUAAAAUAAUAUAUUUGGUUGCUGGAAUCAGC